rnacentral:rRNA from 1 species
GCCGCAGCUAACGCAUUAAGUGCCCCGCCUGGGGAGUACGGCCGCAAGGCUAAAACUCAAAGGAAUUGACGGGGGCCCGCACAAGCGGCGGAGCAUGCGGAUUAAUUCGAUGCAACGCGAAGAACCUUACCAAGGCUUGACAUGUUCUCGAUCGCCGUAGAGAUACGGUUUCCCCUUUGGGGCGGGUUCACAGGUGGUGCAUGGUUGUCGUCAGCUCGUGUCGUGAGAUGUUGGGUUAAGUCCCGCAACGAGCGCAACCCUCGUUCCAUGUUGCCAGCACGUAAUGGUGGGGACUCAUGGGAGACUGCCGGGGUCAACUCGGAGGAAGGUGAGGACGACGUCAAAUCAUCAUGCCCCUUAUGUCUUGGGCUUCACGCAUGCUACAAUGGCCGGUACAAUGGGUUGCGAUACUGUGAGGUGGAGCUAAUCCCAAAAAGCCGGUCUCAGUUCGGAUUGGGGUCUGCAACUCGACCCCAUGAAGUCGGAGUCGCUAGUAAUCGCAGAUCAGCAACGCUGCGGUGAAUACGUUCCCGGGCCUUGUACACACCGCCCGUCAAGUCACGAAAGUUGGUAACACCCGAAGCCGGUGGCCUAACCCUUGUGGGGGGAGCCGUCGAAGGUGGGACCAGCGAUUGGGACUU